rnacentral:rRNA from 1 species
UGGGGAAUUUUGGACAAUGGGCGAAAGCCUGAUCCAGCAAUGCCGCGUGUGUGAAGAAGGCCUUCGGGUUGUAAAGCACUUUUGUCCGGAAAGAAAUCCUUGGCUCUAAUACAGUCGGGGGAUGACGGUACCGGAAGAAUAAGCACCGGCUAACUACGUGCCAGCAGCCGCGGUAAUACGUAGGGUGCAAGCGUUAAUCGGAAUUACUGGGCGUAAAGCGUGCGCAGGCGGUUUGCUAAGACCGAUGUGAAAUCCCCGGGCUCAACCUGGGAACUGCAUUGGUGACUGGCAGGCUAGAGUAUGGCAGAGGGGGGUAGAAUUCCACGUGUAGCAGUGAAAUGCGUAGAGAUGUGGAGGAAUACCGAUGGCGAAGGCAGCCCCCUGGGCCAAAUACUGACGCUCAUGCACGAAAAGCGUGGGGAGCAAAACAGGAUUAGAUACCCUGGUAGUCCACGCCCUAAAACGAUGUCAACUAGUUGUUGGGGAUUCAUUUCCUUAGUAACGUAGCCAACGCGUGAAGUUGACCGCCUGGGGAGUACGGUCGCAAGAUUAAAAACUCAAAGGAAUUGACGGGGUCAUAGCUGUUUCCU